rnacentral:rRNA from 1 species
GCUUGCUUUCUUUGCUGGCGACCGGCGCACGGGUGAGUAACACGUAUCCAACCUGCCCUUUACUCGGGGAUAGCCUUUCGAAAGAAAGAUUAAUACCCGAUAGUAUAAUGAUUCCGCAUGGUUUCAUUAUUAAAGGAUUCCGGUAAAGGAUGGGGAUGCGUUCCAUUAGGUUGUUGGUGAGGUAACGGCUCACCAAGCCUUCGAUGG